rnacentral:rRNA from 1 species
ACGCUCGACACCUACGGGAGCAGCAGUGGGGAAUAUUGCACAAUGGGGGAAACCUUGAUGCAGCGACGCCGCGUGAAGGAAGAAGUAUCUCGGUAUGUAAACUUCUAUCAGCAGGGAAGAAAGUGACGGUACCUGACUAAGAAGCCCCGGCUAACUACGUGUCAGCAGCCGCGGUAAUCUGAGCGGGCUGGCAAGGC